GAUGAACGCUGGCGGCGUGCUUAAUACAUGCAAGUCGAGCGAACGGACGAGACGCUUGCUUCUCUGAUGUUAGCGGCGGACGGGUGAGUAACACGUGGAUAACCUACCUAUAAGACUGGGAUAACUUCGGGAAACCGGAGCUAAUACCAGAUAAUAUUUUGAACCGCAUGGUUCAAAAGUGAAAGACGGUCUUGCUGUCACUUAUAGAUGGAUCCGCGCUGCAUUAGCUAGUUGGUAAGGUAACGGCUUAUCAAGGCAACGAUGCAUAGCCGACCUGUGAGGGUGAUCGGCCACACGGGAACUGGGACACGGUCCAGACUCCUACGGGAGGCAGCAGUAGGGAAUCUGCCGCAAUGGGCGAAAGCCUGACGGAGCAACGCCGCGUGAGUGAUGAAGGUCUUCGGAUCGUAAAACUCUGUUAUGAGGGAAGAACAUAUGUGGAAGUAACUGUGCACAUCGUGACGGUACCUAAUCAGAAAGCCACGGCUAACUACGUG
rnacentral:rRNA from 1 species